CAGCGCCUUGCUUCGGAUAAAAUGGCGGAUCUCGAUUCAAAAACAAGKAUAUUUAGCUGAUUUCCUGGCUAGAGURCAGUCCUAAAGCUUUGUAAUGUGACUGCCUAAUCCCUUGCUGUCCUUGAGUAUUGUAUUCAGUAACACUUUAAAUUCGGAUGCCGCGAUUUUUACGUAAAUCCCCAGCAAAAGAAAGUAAGAAAGAUAAGAAAACUGAAAAAAAGAAAAAGACGAAAGAAAAUUCAAAAGACAAAACAYCUUGGAAAUCGCAGCCUGGAACAUUAUAUGAUGAAGAAGAAGAAGAAGAAAACUUCAUGCAAAAUGGAUUUAUUGGAGUUGGACGGUGU